rnacentral:rRNA from 1 species
CAAUAGCGUAUAUUAAAGUUGUUGCAGUUAGAACGCUCGUAGUCGGAUUUCGGGGCGGGCCGACCGGUCUGCCGAUGGGUACGCACUGGUCGGCGCGUCCUUCCUUCCGGAGACCGUGCCUACUCUUAACUGAGCGGGGGCGGGAGACGGAUCGUUUACUUUGAAAAAAUCAGAGUGUUUCAAGCAGGCAGCUCGCUCUUGCAUGGAUUAGCAUGGGAUAAUGAAAUAGGACUUUGGUGCUAUUUUGUUGGUUUCGAACACCGAAGUAAUGAUAAAUAGGGACAGUCAGGGGCACUCGUAUUCCGCCGAGAGAGGUGAAAUUCUCAGACCAGCGGAAGACGAACCACUGCGAAAGCAUUUGCCAGGGAUGUUUNCACUG